GAUAGCGUUACAAUAAUAAUCACGAGUUAUUCCGCGUUGUUGUCGUGACGAGCCCGGCGAUAGCACAGAGGCAAGAGGGGUCUCUCGCUAGGGAUUUUGUCUAUGGUUUUGAUUCGUUCUAUGGAACCGUACCGACGAAUAGCAAAUUAGUAUCGCAAAUGAGACGAGAAAAGAUGUAAUCGAACUGUGACUAGUGCUUGAUUGAAAAGAAGUCCAUCGACUUGCCUAAUUCACCUGUCGGAAUUUCAGUGUACGUUCCCACAGAUAAUCAUUACAAUCGAGUCGCAAUAAGUACAAUAACCUCGUGCAAGCUCGAACACGUGGUGAAACAAUUCGUCGCUAUAAAUUUAAAAUAAUAUCAGUUUAUCGCUGAUCCAACGAAAGUUGAACGACAAAUCUACGAAAGAUAGAGAUUCCAUCGGUUUUAAUACUUUAAUUACACAUUUCAUAAAUUUAAUAUACCUGGAUUUCUGUUUACAUAGUGGAUGGAUAUUGUGUAAAAAUGGUUGUAUAAAAUGAAGGGAUUUUUCAUUUAUAAAAAAGAACAGUUGAAAAUUGAUUUACAAUAAAGUGGAAUCCUUUAACUCUGAAACGCUUGCUUAUUCGCAGAAAUCACGUCGUUACGGAAACAAUGAAGCAAUAAUAAUUUUAAGAAGGAACCGAUACGAAUGAUUGGAAAGGUGCUUGUCGUUGAUAGUAAAAUGGAUCCGGUAUGUAACAUACUUGGCAUUGAUAAAGUAAAUGUGGAUGGAAAAUUAAUUUUAAUCGAAGAACGACACAACAGCAAUGCAAAUUUUGUGUUGAAUUCGGUUAUUCUCGAUGCGUUGAAUAGAAAUUAUGGAAUUUGCUUUGCACUUUUUCAUAAUACCUUUCAUCAUUAUCAUAAUGUGGGUAUGAAAUUUGGUUAUAAUCUUACAGUUUUAAGAGCAGAAGGUAAGGUUCGUGUUAUAGAACCAAUGAAAAUUAUAGAAUCUAAGAUGCGAAGCAGAAAUGAUGAAAGGACAUAUGAUAUGCAAGGAACUGAUGUUAAUGUAACUUAUAAUGUUAGUAAUGAUAUAAAUGAUAGUUUGUUUGGUACAAUAACAGAUGAAUAUCACAAAAUGAAAAAAUCUCAUAAACACGUGAUAAUUAUCAUUGAUGAUUUGGGUCAUCUUUAUAAUUUAGGAUUUACUUUGAAAGACUCCAUGUCUUAUGUAAGAUUCUUAAGAUCGCUUAUUGAACACGACAUUGCAUCUCAGCUUUGUAUCGCAAUACAUACGUACAAAUGUGAACUACAGAACUCCAUUGCCAAUAGAAGUGUACAUAUUUUGAAACAUAUGGCUCAUUUAUUUGUUAAAAUUGAUUCUUUUAAAACAGGACAAUCCAAUGAUGUAUCUGGAAAAAUAACAAUUAAUUGGAGAGUAGAUCGCAUUAGGAACGAACACAAAUGGUCUGAAAUAUCAAAAUACAUGUAUAAGUUAUUGGAUCGUCAGGUUAAAAUUUAUUCACCUGGACAUUAAUUAUAUUAGUUUCAUUUAAUAUAUAUAUAUAAAAUAUAUAUAUAUAAUAUAUAUAUAUAAAAUAAAAUAUAAAUAAAACAUAAAUAAAAUGUCUUUUUAAGAGAUCAUAAAUAAUAAGUAUAUAUUCAUUUGCAUACCCUUAUGAGUUUAUUAAAAUAUUUCUUUUUAAAAGACAUUAACAGUCUUUCAAUUCGACUAUCAUUUUAUCAUAUUUCGAAUUUGGUUUAUAAACAAUAAGGUCGCAUAAAUACACUUAUAUACAUAUACAAAUAUUUAGAUUUAAGUAUUACCCACGCGCCCGAUUUUCCCGCUUGUUGUUACUGGAACGUAUUUCUUACGAUGUUAUAUACUUGUAAAUACCCAUUAUGAAAUACAGAAUUAUCUCAAAGUCUUGCAAAUAUACAGAGUAUUUGUAGAGGUACUUUUUAUUUUAGAGUAAUUUUAAACGUGUAUAUAACAUAUUCGUAUUCAUUGUAAUUGUAUGAACAUAAAUAUAAAUACAUUUUACGUUAAUAAAAAAAAUUGUAAAAAUUGUAAAAUCUUGUUAUUCGUGUGUUGUUUGAAUUUAAAAGAAAAAGAAAAGAAAUAGAAACAUUUUAAUGUACGAUGAAUAUUGUCGAAAAUACAACAAUAGAUUUUAUCACACAGACAGAUUGUACAUAUUGUUUUUGAAUGUGUUCAUCAAUAAGCGAUCUUGGCGAUAAUUUCAAAGUGACCUGCAUAUGACGUUGUUAACUUGCAAAUCAUUUGCAAAAGCAAGUAUGUCAAUAAUAAGUAGGUAAGUACGUAAGUGAGUACCAUAUUACAUAGGGUACAUAGUUCUAUCCUUGACGAAAAGAGGCGAUAUUAACACGUGGCCAUCAGCUGAUGCGUGCGCCUUCGUGGUCUCCAGAGUUAAUUAAAUCAUGUGUUUUUCGUCAGAUGAUGAUGAAACUUCAUACAAAUGUGUUAACUGACCAACAAUGAUCCAAAUAUCGCAUUAUAUCUAUGGAAUUCCGAGGAUAUAGAGCAU